AGAGUUUGAUCAUGGCUCAGAUUGAACGCUGGCGGCGUGCCUAACACAUGCAAGUCGAGCGGUAACAGGUGUAGCAAUACAUGCUGACGAGCGGCGGACGGGUGAGUAACGCUUGGGAAUCUGCCUGUUAGUGGGGGACAACCCGGGGAAACUCGGGCUAACACCGCAUACGCACUACGGUGGAAAGCCGGGGACCGCAAGGCCUGGCGCUAACAGAUGAGCCCAAGUCGGAUUAGCUAGUUGGUAGGGUAACGGCCUACCAAGGCGACGAUCCGUAACUGGUCUGAGAGGACGACCAGUCACACCGGAACUGAGACACGGUCCGGACUCCUACGGGAGGCAGCAGUGGGGAAUAUUGGACAAUGGGCGAAAGCCUGAUCCAGCGACGCCGCGUGGGUGAAGAAGGCCUGCGGGUUGUAAAGCCCUUUCGGUGGGGAAGAAAAGCCUCGAGUUAACACCUCGGGGUCUUGACGUAACCCAUAGAAGAAGCACCGGCUAACUCUGUGCCAGCCGCCGCGUAAUUC
rnacentral:rRNA from 1 species